CAGUGGAAGCUCAUUUCUACACUCACCUCGUGGCUCUGCCAAAUUGACGUCCUCGCAAACAGUUGGGCAAUAGGGCGUCUGCUGGCAAGGCUUCCAAACCAGCUCCGAGGCUUCCAGGGCCUUGUUUGUCAGAACUCGGAGCCCUGGCAGGUGGUUUCCUUCCAUGCUGAUACAGCCAAAGGUUACACACACUCAGAUAAAGGAGGUUAAAGGCUACAACCCUGUGAGCUGCGAGAGGUCAGAAGAGUGAGCCGCUUGGGUCCAGGAGUCGUUCAGGAAUAUGAGUCCAUGUUGUGCAUCAAGCCCAGCAUCGAAGUCCCCAAUUGACCCAGCCCAGUGGUACCUGUAAUACGGUCUCACAAAUAAGCAAUGCCUUGUUUGGCCAUGAACUGGAUCACACUCUUCUUUCUGGGCUGUUUCUGACCAAUUCAAAUCAACAGACAUUUAUUGACUACCUACUGAAUACAAGGAGAAAUACAGCCUGGCCAUGUGGCCGAAGGACUCACCUUGGAGACCCAUCACUGACACCCACUAGAUGAGGAGCCUGAAGCUGUGAGGAGCUGUGACAUGCCCACAGCCAUAUAGCCAGCAGAGAAGUGCCUUCCUGUCUCAGGGUCCAGCAUUCUAUCUGUGGUAGCACCUUGGCCACCUCCAUACAAGGCAAAGACAAAAAGACAAAAACAAAACCAUCUCCACUCUCCCUGAGCUUAUCAGGCUGGGAGGAGGGUAUGGCGGGUGCCCAGAUGAAUAAGUACGGGAGUAUACAUAAAAUAACUUGGAAGGGGAAGCACUGAUGGCAGGGAUCUGGAAUCCUGGGUCUUGAGUUGGAAGGAGUGCUGAGGUUAGCUAGUGCACCCUCCUCCUUUUACAGGUAGGGAAACUGAGACAGAGAGAGGUGAAGGAGCUUGCCUAUAGAUGUCAAAGCCAGGAUUAUGAGCCCAGGGCCUCCGGCCCCAAAGCCUGCCUUCUUUCUAGCAUCACAUUAGUAGGUGGCCCCCAAACUGUGCUUUGAAUCAAUGGAAGGAUUCUAAGAGGGGCGUGGGAGGAGGGAGAGAGGUGAACGUAUCUGGGAGCUCUUUCCAGCUCUUCCCUGUCUGUAUGUGUCCACCCUUCUGAUGGACUAGACUUCAUGAUCACCAUGAAUCUGAAACAGAAUGGAGAAUUACUGAUCCAGAAUUCAUUUUGUGAAUUAUUUCAUAUGAAGAUCUGGCAAAAAAAAAAUGGUACUGGGAUACAGGGAGAGGAGAGGAGAGGAGAGGAGGGUUGGAAUCAAGGAGCCCUGGCAGUUUAUGGUCUUGUCCUGUGAACCAGGGAGGGCGCGAGCAGCCCCAGGCUCCAGUUAGGCCCCCCCACGGUCCUCAGCAGAGGUGUGGGUGGACCUCUGACAGGCUGCAUUCUGCCCCAGAUGCAGCCGGUGACAGCCCCGAUAGAUGGACAGGGAAAGUCUUUGUGGUGCCAUCCUGGCCCAUUGUCACAGAGCGCUUGGAGCUGGCAUCCUGAGCUGAGGCAGCUGUUCAGAAACAGGUCCCAAGGAGCCCGCAGCCCAAGGGAGGGGGCUCUGGGAUGGGGAGUUCAUCCCCAUCAUCCCACGUUUUCACUCUGCAGAAGCCUCAGAUGGCUUUAUUGGCCUCACCGUAGCUGGAAGCACACGUUUUGUUCUACCCGGUGCCUGGAGACAGUUCAGUAUUCACGGAUCACAGGCAAAGGUGCAGAAUCCUGCUUUCAAAUACACUCCCAGUGGGGGAUCUCUGGGGCAGAGGGAAAACGCAUUCUAAAUGAGGACAGGUAAACAGAAGUCUCUCCUCUGCCCCGAAAGAGUUAAUGCCAAGUCUCUCUCUCUCUCUCUCUCUCUCUACCAGGAUUUGGGGUGAUCAAAAGCUUUUCCGGGUAUACCCAGAUUCUCCUCUCUGAAAAGUAGUGGGCCUAUUUCAGGAGCUCAAAUGAUCCUAGGUUUAAUGAGAAUGAUGUGCCUUUAUAUCCCAAAGAGAUCAUACAAAUGGGAAAAGGACCCACAUGUACAAAAAUAUUUAUAGCAGCUCUUU